GACGAACCGUGCGAACGUUGUUCGGAAUCACUGGGCUUAAAGGGCGCGUAGGCGGCCGGGUUGGUCUGAUGUGAAAGCCCGCGGCUCAACCGCGGAAUGGCAUUGGAAACCACUCGGCUCGAGGGCUGUAGGGGUGCGUGGAACUUCCGGUGGAGCGGUGAAAUGCGUUGAUAUCGGAAGGAACGCCGGUGGCGAAAGCGAUGCACUGGACAGCCCCUGACGCUGAGGCGCGAAAGCCAAGGGAGCGAACGG
rnacentral:rRNA from 1 species